rnacentral:rRNA from 1 species
GACGAACGCUGGCGGCGUGCUUAACACAUGCAAGUCGAACGGAAAGGCCCUGCUUUUGUGGUGUGCUCGAGUGGCGAACGGGUGAGUAACACGUGAGUAACCUGCCCUUGACUUUGGGAUAACUUCAGGAAACUGGGGCUAAUACCGGAUAGGAGCUCCUGCUGCAUGGUGGGGGUUGGAAAGUUUCGGCGGUUGGGGAUGGACUCGCGGCUUAUCAGCUUGUUGGUGGGGUAGUGGCUUACCAAGGCUUUGACGGGUAGCCGGCCUGAGAGGGUGACCGGCGACAUGGGGACUGAGAUACGGCCCAGACUGCUACGGGAGGCAGCAGUGGGGAAUAUUGCACAAUGGGCGGAAGCCUGAUGCAGCAACGCCGCGUGCGGGAUGACGGCCUUCGGGUUGUAAACCGCUUUCGCCUGUGACGAAGCGUGAGUGACGGUAAUGGGUAAAGAAGCACCGGCUAACUACGUG